UUUUCUUAAUGCUCAACCCAUAAAACCCCAGGAUUAAGAAAAGAGAGGAAGAGGGAGGAGUGUAGAGAGGAAGAAAGACUGAGAUGAAAGUUUCUUGUACGCGGCGUGGAGGACUGAGGCGGCCGUCGCUAGGCAAAUGUCCAGGGCUCUCUCGGGAUGGUGUAAACUUACUCAGCUCCAAAUACAGCCUAGUAUCCUGCUCUGCAUUCAAGGGAACCAUUUUUUUCAACAUGAAAAGUCUUAUGGAUACAGGAACUUCUCAAAUCAGUGUCAAGUUUUCAUUAUAAGGAAGUAGCAGCAGUGGUUAAGAGUUCGCUCCAAAUGCUCAUCUUCUUCUUCAGCCCUAGAAGUCAAACAGGAAACAAAUUUAUUUUUCUUCGUGGAGGGCAAAGCCAC